rnacentral:rRNA from 1 species
AGGAUAAACGCUGGCGGCGUGCCUAACACAUGCAAGUCGAACGCGCUUUCGGGCUUCGGUGCGAGAGCGAGUGGCGGACGGGUGAGUAACACAUGGGUACCUACCUUGGAGUGAGGGAUACCGGCGAGAAAUCGCCGACAAUACCGCAUAGGCUUCUUCACAAGGGAAGCAAAGUGACGCGAGUCACGCUUUGAGAUGGGCCUGUGGCCGAUUAGCUAGUUGGGGGGGUAACGGCUUCCCAAGGCGACGAUCGGUAGCUGGUCUGAGAGGACGAUCAGCCACACUGGGAUUGAGAACGGCCCAGACUCCUACGGGGGGCAGCAGUGAGGAAUUUUCCGCAAUGGAGGCAACUCUGACGGAGCAACGCCGCGUGCAGGAGGAAGGUUUCGGAUCGUAAACUGCCUUUCUCGGGGACGAGCAAGGACGGUACCCGAGGAAGAAGCCCCGGCUAACUACGCGCCAGCAGCCGC